rnacentral:rRNA from 1 species
UGGGGAAUUUUGGACAAUGGGCGAAAGCCUGAUCCAGCAAUGCCGCGUGUGUGAAGAAGGCCUUCGGGUUGUAAAGCACUUUUGUCCGGAAAGAAAUCCUUGGCUCUAAUACAGUCGGGGGAUGACGGUACCGGAAGAAUAAGCACCGGCUAACUACGUGCCAGCAGCCGCGGUAAUACGUAGGGUGCAAGCGUUAAUCGGAAUUACUGGGCGUAAAGCGUGCGCAGGCGGUUUGCUAAGACCGAUGUGAAAUCCCCGGGCUCAACCUGGGAACUGCAUUGGUGACUGGCAGGCUAGAGUAUGGCAGAGGGGGGUAGAAUUCCACGUGUAGCAGUGAAAUGCGUAGAGAUGUGGAGGAAUACCGAUGGCGAAGGCAGCCCCCUGGGCCAAUACUGACGCUCAUGCACGAAAGCGUGGGGAGCAAACAGGAUUAGAUACCCUGGUAGUCCACGCCCUAAACGAUGUCAACUAGUUGUUGGGGACUUCAUUUUCCUUAGUAACGUAGCUAACGCGUGAAGUUGACCGCCUGGGGAGUACGGUCGCAAGAUUAAAACUU